rnacentral:rRNA from 1 species
UACGUAGGGGGCAAGCGUUGUCCGGAUUCAUUGGGCGUAAAGAGCGUGUAGGCGGCCAGGUAGGUCGGUUGUGAAAACUGGAGGCUCAACCUUCAGAGGUCGACCGAAACCAUCUGGCUAGAGUCCGGGAGAGGAGAGUGGAAUUCCUGGUGUAGCGGUGAAAUGCGCAGAUAUCAGGAAGAACACCCGUGGCGAAAGCGGCCCACUGGGUCUUUUCUGACGCUGAGGGACGAAAGCUAGGGGAGCGAACGGG